UGAGGUAGUAGGUUGUUUAGUU
rnacentral:ncRNA from 3 species